ACCACAGCUCCCUAUCUCUCUGUCUCUGCCGUGUGAACACACAGCAAGAAGAUAGCCGUCUGCAAGCCAGGAAGAGAGACCUCACAAGGAACCGAUCAGCCAGCACCUUGAUUUUAGACUUCCCAGCCUCAAAAACUAUGCAUACUGAAGUAUUCACUGGUAAAAUGAUAUCUGGGAUUUGCUGCAAAAUACUUCAGCGGAGAAAACCAAAAAGGAAGAGGGGAAGAGCAGAAUGUUGACACCUGCUGAAGCCGAUGCACAGAUGCUCUUUGAAAAUUCUCGCUAUCUUUGUAUUUGUAAAAUUUUCAUAAUAAAUUUUAAAUUUAAUAAUCCCA